rnacentral:rRNA from 1 species
UACAGAGGGUGCGAGCGUUGUUCGGAAUUAUUGGGCGUAAAGGGCGCGUAGGCGGUGCGGUAAGUCACCUGUGAAAUCUCCUGGCUCAACUGGGAGCUUGCAGGCGAAACUGCCGUGCUGGAGUGUGGGAGAGGUGCGUGGAAUUCCUGGUGUAGCGGUGAAAUGCGUAGAUAUCAGGAGGAACACCUGUGGCGAAAGCGGCGCACUGGACCACAACUGACGCUGAGGCGCGAAAGCUGGGGGAGCAAACCGG